rnacentral:rRNA from 1 species
AUUGAACGCUGGCGGCAGGCCUAACACAUGCAAGUCGAACGAGUGGCGGACGGGUGAGUAAUGACUGGGAAACUGCCUGAUGGAGGAGGAUAACUACUGGAAACGGUAACUAAUACCGCAUACCAUCGGAUGUGCCCAGAUUGGAUUAGCUAGUUGGUGGGGUAAAGGCUCACCAAGGCGACGAUCCCUAGCUGGUCGGAGAGGAUGACCAGCCACACUGGAACUGAGACACGGUCCAGACUCCUACGGGAGGCAGCAGUGGGGAAUAUUGGACAAUGGGCGAAAGCCUGAUGCAGCCAUGCCGCGUGUGUGAAGAAGGCCUUCGGGUUGUAAAGCACUUUAAGCAGGGAGGCGUUACCCGCAGAAGAAGCACCGGCUAACUCCGUGCCAGCAGCCGCGGUAAUAC